rnacentral:rRNA from 1 species
GAUGAACGCUAGCGGGAGGCUUAACACAUGCAAGUCGAGGGGUAGGGAAGCAAUUCCUGAGACCGGCGGACGGGUGCGUAACGCGUAUGCAACCUGCCUUAUACAGGGGGAUAGCCCAUGGAAACGUGGAUUAACACCCCAUAGGAUUACGGGAUCGCAUGAUUUUGUGAUUAAAACUGAGGUGGUAUAAGAUGGGCAUGCGUCUGAUUAGGUAGUUGGUAGGGUAAUGGCCUACCAAGCCGACGAUCAGUAGGGGUUCUGAGAGGAUUACCCCCCACACUGGUACUGAGACACGGACCAGACUCCUACGGGAGGCAGCAGUGAGGAAUAUUGGUCAAUGGCCGGAAGGCUGAACCAGCCAUCCCGCGUGCAGGAUGACGGCCCUAUGGGUUGUAAACUGCUUUUGUACCUGAAGAAUAGGCCCAACGAGUUGGGAUUUGCCGGUAAGGUAUGAAUAAGCAUCGGCUAACUCCGUGCCAGCCGCCGCUGUAACAC